AAAUAACUAGAGAAACAAAGAGAAUUGUUGCUGUGUUGAACACUUGCUCCCGUCUACUUACUUCUCUAUAAUCCACUGACACUGCUGCUGAAUCCAUGGAGAGAAAAAGGAUAAAUUUCCAGAACUAUGGUCCCUGUGCUCCAGUUCGCCAGGCGGGCGCGGCGGAGACGGAGACCGAGGAACGCGGCUGGGGCCAUGCGGCGCUACCGCGCGUGGUGGCGCUGUGUCUGGCCUGAGGCUUCUGCUCGCUCCUUUACGCCUUCAGCCAGCUCCCCAUGUCCCCGGAGGAAGGAGCGGGCGGUGGUGGCGGGAAGCUGCAGGCCGCAGUGGCUUCCUGGCUGGCGGGAGGCGGAUGCGGUGCGGUGAGAGGCGCGAGCAGUGCUUGUCCCGCUGCGCAUCCCCGCAGGUGGGACAGGUGUAGUCUGAAAAUACAGCCUGUUGAGAAAAUGCAUCUAGGUGAAAGACUUGAAAAAACUAUGACCAUGUUGAAGUCAGCUAUUAUUUUCAGGAUCAAACCUCUUCAAUUCCAGAUUUUUGCUGAAGAUCAACUCAUCAUAGCUUUAAAG
rnacentral:lncRNA from 1 species